CACACGGUGCAGAACGGCAGAUACAUGUUGAACCCCGCCAGGGUCGAGAGACAGCAACGGCAGAUGUGUUCCUCUGGGUGUUCUGCACUACGCAUUUAU
rnacentral:SRP_RNA from 1 species